rnacentral:rRNA from 1 species
AACGAACGCUGGCGGCAUGCCUAACACAUGCAAGUCGAACGGGAUCCAGGCUUCGGCCUGGUGAGAGUGGCGGACGGGUGAGUAACACGUGGGAACCUGCCUUUUUGGUUCGGGAUAACCGCGGGAAACUGCGGCUAAUACCGGAUGCUCCCGAGAGGGGAAAGAUUUAUCGCCAGAAGAGGGGCCCGCGUCCGAUUAGGUAGUUGGUGAGGUAAUGGCUCACCAAGCCGACGAUCGGUAGCUGGUCUGAGAGGAUGAUCAGCCACACUGGGACUGAGAUACGGCCCAGACUCCUACGGGAGGCAGCAGUGGGGAAUAUUGGACAAUGGGGCAACCCUGAUCCAGCAAUGCCGCGUGAGUGAUGAAGGCCUUAGGGUUGUAAAGCUCUUUUGCCAGGGAAGAUGAUGACUGUACCUGGAGAAUAAGCCCCGGCUAACUUCGUGCCAGCAG